rnacentral:rRNA from 1 species
GAUGAACGCUGGCGGCGUGCCUAAUACAUGCAAGUCGAGCGAACGGACGAGAAGCUUGCUUUUCUGAUGUUAGCGGCGGACGGGUGAGUAACACGUGGAUAACCUACCUAUAAGACUGGGAUAACUUCGGGAAACCGGAGCUAAUACCGGAUAAUAUUUUGAACCGCAUGGUUCAAAAGUGAAAGACGGUCUUGCUGUCACUUAUAGAUGGAUCCGCGCUGCAUUAGCUAGUUGGUAAGGUAACGGCUUACCAAGGCAACGAUGCAUAGCCGACCUGAGAGGGUGAUCGGCCCCACUGGACCUGAGACACGGUCCCGACUCCUACGGGAGGCAGCAGUAGGGAAUCUUCCGCAAUGGGCGAAAGCCUGACGGAGCAACGCCGCGUCAGUGAUGAAGGUCUUCGGAUCGGAAAACUCUGUUAUUAGGGAAGAACAUAUGUGUAAGUAACUGUGCACAUCUUGACGGUACCUAAUCAGAAAGCCACGGCUAACUACGUG